GUAUUUAUAGCGGAUUUAGUGAGCGUAUACGGAACCAUACUCGACAGUCGACACCGAAUCGGGCACCGUGUCCGUGUACUCGUUUCCGGCGCGCGCCGCCUCCGACUCCGACACCGAGAAGGCGGAGCGGAAGACGGCCGAGGGCGAGGAGAAGCGCGCCCGCCGCGAGGCCCGGAAGGUGGGCGAGGAGAACGACAUCGACGCCAUUCUCAGGAGCAUUCAAAAGGAGGAGGCUAAGAAGAAGGAGGUACAUGUGGAGGAGAAUGUCCCUGCACCAUCUCCCCGGUCUAAUUGCUCGCUUACAAUAAAUCCAUUGAAAGAUACAUAAUUGAUUAUGUAUGGAGGAGAGUUCUAUAAUGGCA